rnacentral:rRNA from 1 species
GCUUUAGUACGGCGAGUGAAGCGGCAAAAGCUCAAAUUUGAAAUCUGGUACCUUUGGUGCCCGAGUUGUAAUUUGGAGAGUACCACUUUGGGACUGUACUUUGCCUAUGUUCCUUGGAACAGGACGUCAUGGAGGGUGAUAAUCCCGUGUGGCGAGGGUGUCAGUUCGGUGCGCAGGGCGCCCUG